CGAAUAAACAGUUAAUUAACCAUUUAUUUGCUUACCUUAAUCCAGCACCAGGCUCCCUCGGCUCUGAUGACCUCUCCUUCUCCAUCUACGUCAGCUUCCGAGUGGAUCCGAAUGCGCAUGCGCGGCAAGAGGCGUGUGCGCUUUCAAACCCGCCCAUAGGAAAGCAUUACUCAAUGCUUUCCUAUGGGGAUCUUUUUUGACACUGG